UCGCGGCGGCGUGGGCCGGCGGCGGCACCUUGCAGCCUGUGGGGAUGAGAGGUUGGGUGGACUCGGGCCUGGGCCCGCAUGGACCCCGUGGCGCUGGGCCGGUGGCGACGGCGGAGGCCAGAGGAGCUGCAGGUUCCGGGGGACGCGAGCACAGGCUCUGGACGCGCAGGCUCACCGGCCAUGGCUCACGGGCCCAGCCGCUCUGCGGCACGUGGGAUACUCCUGGACCGGGGCACGAACCCGUGUGCCCUGCAUCGGCAGGCGGACUCUCAACCACUGCACCACCAGGGAAGCCCCAAACGGGCAUGCAGGAGAUUAGAAGCAGUGGCGCAGGAGCGGGGCUGCCCCCAGGUGAAGGUGCGUGUGCCCGCAUCCUGGGGCAGCGAGGAGCCCGAGUCACCAGAUGCCCAGCCCAGAGGCUACCUCCCUGCACCGAGGCCAGACGGUGGCCAGGGGCGACCAAGCGUGGGGGUUCCUCAGGACGGUGGAAAGAGCUGGGCCCAGCCUUGCCCGAGAUGCAUUGCGGGGGAGUCUGGCAGCACCCGCCUUCCAGGAAACAGGAUGCCAUCGUGGACCGGACUGCUCUGUCCCCCCACCGCCUGGCCCACCGCUCCCUUCCUGGCCUCAGCCAGCCCAGCGAGCCUUCUGCCACCACGGCGCAGCCUUGGAGAGCAGGGGUGCCCUGCCAGCCUCUGCCCGGGGGCCACGGAGCCACACUGCUCUUUGCCGGGACAGUGGCAAGUGUGAUAAAGGUUUUUGGAUGCUGGACAAGACCUCUCAUUUCAUGGUGGCACAGUGUCUGGCCACGGGUCUGCCCCCAGCCGUCCGGUGCUCCUAGUUACUUCUGCGGGCAAAGGGACAUUUUAACCAUAUGGAGAAUUGGUAGAAGAUGCAAGCUGAAAAAGGAAGAUUCCAAUUGUGGUUUCGAACCCUCAUGUGCCAGCGAAUGUAAACCUCUCCCGGGUGGAUGUGUGUGCCCACCUGUUCAAAUAGCGCCUGGUACCCUCCCGUCAGGAAAUCCCACCAUCCUCCUCCGCCCCGGAGCCAGAAGAGCCUCCAAAUGUUACUCCUCAUGAAGCCUCCUUUCAAAUGCAUCUUGCUUGAGAAGAAGAUCAAUUGCAUUAUUUAAAAGUUUAAAAAAUUCAGUAUCAAACUUCCUGUGAGGUUUGAGAGCCCUGUAGCUUAUGGAGCCACAUCCAGAUGUAGCCCCACUUUAUACUUUUCUAUUGUUUUGUGGAUGUAUCCAGAGCUGCUUAUGUACUCUUUUUUAAUUAAAAGUCUUAUUUUUAUAUUGAAAAUGCUCUAUAAUCUUAAACUGAAUUUCAGUAAAUGUUAGUAUCCAGUCUGUUCUGUGUGCUUCCCCAACUGAACUUAUCAGGCACAGGGCCACCUUUAUGUUAAAAUGGGAAUUUCUCACCUUCUCUUGGAUUUUCCGUGUAUGGCCUGACCGUGGAGACUGGCAUUGUUCCCCUGGGUCUGCAGGCGCGCUGAGAUGCCCUUGUCACCUAGAGAUGGGUCCCGGUGAAACCACUGGGUCGUAGGCUUGCUCUCGGGUCCUUUGCCCGGGCGGACGCAGCCCCGUGCUCGCCGUGUUGCCCUGUGUUAGCUGUGUGGCCGUGUCCUCUGCCGGUGAUGGGCUGCAGCAUCCGCGUCCCGAAGAGCCCGACCCGUAAACCAUCUUGUGUAGUCACGGAGGCACCUCAUACCGGAAAGACGGGGCAGAAGAAGACACAGGGCAGAAAGGAACUUAGUGCGACCGUCUGUGAUACGGAUUACGCACAGUCACUGGACUCACUGCCAGGUUCAGGACAGAAAGCUGACUUUUCUGUCCCCGGCAUCUUUGGAGUCACUAGACAGUUAACCCCGAGCAGGAUCGCAGAGCUGUGACUUGAUGAGGAAACGCCAGUCAAGGCCGAGAGAGAAAGUAUUGAGAUUUGUGGCCUUAAAAAUACAUCUUUAAAGAGCUUUAAUUUGCUUCUGUCUUUUCCAAAUGAGAUACACAACUUAAUUUUUAUGGAAAACGUGAAAAUUCUUAGAUGACAACAUUUUGUUUUGUGUAUAAGCUCUUCCUUUUCCCCCAAAUUCAUGGGGCGAGGAGGUGACCACAUAUUCACAGCUAGGUGUUUUGGUAAUUGAAGCAGCACCGCGGUGGCCUCGGCCGUUUACAUGGACUGAAAGCUUUCCUUGGGGAGAAGAGCCCCUGUGCAGCACCCUGCCUGGCGCAGGACGGACGCCCUUGGGUGGAGUCGGGCGGACGUGCGGUCAGGGCUCACCUCCCCGCGCUGCCACCAGCGUCUCGGCCGCAGUCCCUCUGUGAAAGGGUCUGGUGACCCACGGGCUGUCGUUAGCGUGAGACCCAGGAGUGAGACCGUGGCCUGGCCGCUGCUCAGGGUCCAUCCCCUGCCCUGCCACACGGCCCCUCUGAGGCCAGAGCAGGCGACCCUCUCUGGAAAAGCCGCGUAUGAGGAGUCCUCACAGUGUGAACGUGACAAGAGGGGCGAAGUGAAGCCGGCCAGCAUGCGGGAACCGGCAGUUUUAUCCCGAAUUCCUACAGUUCUUAGAUGGUAAAGAGGCGACGCAGCAUGCAAGAGCUUAUGGGGACCCCUGGGAGGUGUGGCCUCAGCGUCGUCUGUCCCUGUGGGACAGGCCCGCGGUAGAGUGUGCUGGGUCUAGGCUUCCAGAACCAGCCCCGUGCCCCGCGGAGCCCGCCAGCGGGCCCUCUUGCCCAGCAGAGACCCCUGGCGCUGCAGAGCCUGGCAGCGCGUCCUGCAGCCCGCCUCGCCUGCCUCGCCCGCCUCUCCCGCCUUUGACUUCGCCCCAGCUCCGGAAUUGUCCCUUCUGUCCCGCCCAACCUGCCUCCUUUUGGGCCCUGCAGCCUGCCAUGGAUGAGGGAGACGGCGUUUUGGUAAAACUUUCUUAAUUGGCUUUUUUAUGAUUAUAAAAGUAAUACUUGUUCAUGUAGCAGAAAAUAGAGAAAGGAAAACAAAACCCCUCACCCCGCAUUGCCACCCUCGGCCUGCUGGCAGGCCGCCCUCCGGAUGUGGACUUCUUUUUUAUUUCUGAGUGUUAUGUAGUGAACACGCUCCCACAUCGUUGUAGGAAAACGUCGUUUUAAAAGGUGGCACGGUACCCCCCCUGGGAACAAGGCGGGCCAUCGUUUUGAUGGCUCUGACACUAGCUGUGCCCUUUGGUGGGGAAGGGCUGGCUUUAAAGUCCGUAGGCAAGUGUGCGGGGAGCCUGUCUGUCUCUGCCGGGAUGUAAGGGGAUAUGACAGGCAGGAGGCAGGCCCGCCGCCCGGAGACCCCGCACAGGGACCACCUCUCUCUGCCACACCAAUUUGUCCAC